rnacentral:tRNA from 1 species
GAGGGUAUAGCUCGGUGGUAGAGCACAUGCUUAGCAUGCACAAAGUCCUGAGUUCAAUCCCCAGUACCUCCA